CAACGCAUAAAAAUAGGUGCUUGUCAGGUCGUGUGGUUAUAUUAAAUAUAAGCGAAAGAGAGAACUUUCAAGAAAUGAAUAUAGCCGCUACAGUGACCAUCAAGACCAUUAAAUUUGGAUAAUAAAACUCGAGGUGGAAACCAGGAGGCAGCCGGAAGAAUACAUCCGAGGACAGGACACAUCAAGGUACAGUCUGCAGUCUGUGAAGUGGGGCUCCUGCUGCUCAGGUGUUCUCACUGAAGUCCGUUUCACCUGAUGAGAGGAGGCAGCUCUGACUUGGGGCUGUUCAAGAAUGAGCGCCACUUGAUCUGGUUCCACCUCUACCACAGGCAGAGAAACACAGGCCUGGACUCUUUGUUGGCCAGACAAAAUCAGAAACGGAAAUCAUUGGUUUUUACAACUGGGUCCAGUUCCACCUGCAUAGGAUAUGAGGCCAGGGAGCAUGAUUUGGUAAGUAUAACAUUUCACCAGACAGAAGAGUUUGAUUUCCUUUGAUUUCAGUAUUCUCAGCCGGUCGGCCUCAUGUGUGCCUGAUCACAAGUCGGUCCACUUCAUACAUGCACAGUAGCGCAGGCAAAUAGUUGCUCACACGCUCACUGUGGCCAUUAUUGAGCUCACGUUGGGUGGAGAUGAGAAGUUUCAAAGAGAUUUAAUUUAUAUAUUUUAUAUAAUAAAGUAAAUGUACGAAUGACCGGCAAUAAUUCAGUCACUGAAAUUAUCCAUGAAAUUAGCUAAAUGUAACAGUAAAAACUAAAUAUUAAACAUUAUUGUACAGCACGUAAGAUCGACAGUGCCCAGUGUGCUUUGAGGUAGGAGCCAAAAAGGAUGUAGUUUGUGUGUGUGAGCACCCGUGUGUACACCUGUGAGCAUGUAUCUCAUGUAUCUCUGUAUCUCAUUGUACAACUGUAUAGUGACAAUAAAGGCAUUCUAUUCUAUUCUAUGAGCACACUUGUAUUUAAAAGGUUCCUUCAUGUAAUGAUCUGCUAGAGGGUGUGGGGGGCCACAGCCCCGUCCUCCAGGGCAUGAAGCAGGUAUGGAGGAGAUCAAGACUCCAGACAUCCAGAGGCCCUCAGAACACAAGAGACCAAGGAAGACCAACAGAGGCGCCACUAUCCCAGAAAGAGCUGAGGAGAGCCCUAGAUGAGGGGUCACUCAGCAGCCGCGGAGCAGAAGCCAGGGGGGGUUGUAGUGACGUGCCCGUGAGCUCCGCCGGCAGCCAGCUGUGCCAGAGUGACUGAGCCCCAGGCCGAGAGGCCGAGGGCACCCCAUCCCCGAAGUGGCCCGAGCGAGCCCCAGGCUCCAGGCCCCGACAAGCAGCCACCAAGGAGUGAGCCAGUGUGUACCUGGACGCCAAUCCCGGGACACAAAGAACCACCAAUGCACCAAUGUCUGAGGGCAUCUGCCACUGGCAGGGGAAGUGGUGGGGGGAGAUAGGCCUCCAUACCUUGGAGGACCUGAGAUGUCCCCAGAGAGGUGGCAUCUGAUACCCGACCUGACAUAUAGACACAGACAUACAGGCACACACAGAUACAAACAUCCAUUCCCACCCUCAUGCUCUCAUAUGCAAUUACUCAACACUCACCCAACAUGGAGACAGACAUAAAGAGACGCUGUACACACAGUCACACUCCCCAAGCGUACUCUAAGCCCCAGGUCUAGGUACCCUUGCCCCCGGAGGGGGAAACUGCACCCAGACCCAGGUAGUGUUACCCUUUUCCCUGGGGUGGAGAGAAGCAGACUGCCCCGGCUCGGCAGCAGCAGGGAGGCCCCACAUUCCAGACCCCAAUCGGGCGGCCAACUCCUCCUCCUAGCCCUCCCGCUCCAACAGGCUGCAGAGAACGGGGGUGUGUGAAGACUCCAAACCUCCCUCCGCCCGCUCAUAUGUAGUGUUGAUGCACGUGUGUUCUAAGGUGCAUUUAAAACCCAGGAGGGCGUGGAGCUACCUGCCAGAGAGCAGCAG
ensembl:lncRNA